UACGGAGGGUGCAAGCGUUGUCCGGAUUUAUUGGGUUUAAAGGGUGCGUAGGUGGUCGUUUAAGUCAGUGGUGAAAGCCCACAGCUCAACUGUGGAACUGCCAUUGAUACUGGAUGACUUGAGUACGGAUGAGGUAGGCGGAAUUUAUGGUGUAGCGGUGAAAUGCAUAGAUACCAUAAAGAACACCGAUAGCGAAGGCAGCUUACUAGACCGUCACUGACACUGAGGCACGAAAGCGUGGGUAGCGAACAGG
rnacentral:rRNA from 1 species